rnacentral:rRNA from 1 species
CACGUAGGAGGCAAACGUUAUCCGGAUUUACUGGGCGUAAAGCGCAUGUAGGUGGUUCUGUAAGUAGGGCGUGAAAGCUCCCGGCUCAACUGGGAGAGGCCGUUCUAAACUACAGAGCUAGAGGAUGGUAGAGGGAGGUGGAAUUCCGGGUGUAGCGGUGGAAUGCGCAGAUAUCCGGAGGAACACCAGUGGCGAAAGCGGCCUCCUGGUCCAUUCCUGACACUCAGAUGCGAAAGCUAGGGUAGCAAACGGGAUUAGAUACCCCUGUAGUCCCUGA